rnacentral:misc_RNA from 1 species
GAUGAAGAACGUAGCGAAAUGCGAUAAGUAGUGUGAAUUGCAGAAUUCAGUGAAUCAUCGAAUCUUUGAACGCACAUUGCGCCCUUUGGUAUUCCAAAGGGCAUGCCUGUUCGAGCGUCAUUUGUACCCUCAAGCUUUGCUUGGUGUUGGGCGUCUUGUCUCUAGCUUUGCUGGAGACUCGCCUUAAAGUAAUUGGCAGCCGGCCUACUGGUUUCGGAGCGCAGCACAAGUCGCACUCUCUAUCAGCAAAGGUCUAGCAUCCAUUAAGCCGUUUUUUCAACUUUUGACCUCGGAUCAGGUAGGGAUACCCGCUGAACUUAAGCAUAUCAAUAAGCGGAGGA